rnacentral:lncRNA from 1 species
AGAGAUGCGCAGUGCUGCCCCUUUCUAUGGGCAGGGCCGAAGGUCCGCGUGUAAAAGUACCCAGUCCCUGGUAACCUGACACUUCCCUUUUAAAAGCCACCUUUUGUCUAUCUCUGGCCUGCCACGAUUCUUCCUGUGCUCCAUAGGAGGACCCAUUGGACCCCCGGGCUGGCUGCAGGGCCCACACCUGGGUUAGACCUCGCACAGGGACGCUGCUGCCACUGUAAUAAAGCGUGCCUACACGCUUCUGAAACUGGUGUAGGAACAACCUCAGUUCUGUGAAAGGCGGACGCAGCAGGACAGAAUCUCCGUGGACAUCUGUCUGGAGGAGCAAUUUUACUGCGACAUUUUAAAGAAACAAAUUUAAUUGAUUUCCAAGGCUAGAGUGUGACAGAAAUCUAAAAGAUCAACUUCAUCGUGCAGGAAGGAGCAUAGAAAAAUAGAGAAAAGAAGAAAACAGCAAACCAUUCUGAGUACCGUGGAAACAAACUAAAAGUGGGCUUAGAAGGAAAACAGAGGAAGAAGGUCUGAGUAGUCCCAGGGACUCCAGAGGCCAAGAUGGGAAAGCCACCCAGGCGAGACAGGGGAGAUGGAAGCCACAGGGAAUCACUAUCACAUACCUCUGCUGGACCUGAAUGGUCCUGGCGCCAGCUAGAGCCAUCUGGUCGACCUUAGACAUGUCAAGGCAGGAGCCAUCUGAUCGACCUUAGACUUGGCAAGCUGGUGGCUAAGUCCAGUGCUCACUGCCGACAUCUGUCUCAAAAUAAACAAAAAGUCCAACAGUGAAUAUUUAACAAUAACAAAAAUAUAAUACCAAACAAUAUUAAAGACCAAUAAAUAAGUGGGAGUGAACAAAGGUAAAAGGUAACUAAUAUCACAAUUAAAAUAUUCUGCUAUCUCUCA